rnacentral:lncRNA from 1 species
AUACAGUCCUGGCUUCCUGGCUGGGCACUUGGGGUCAUUGACAAAGUAGCCCCAGCCUCUUUUCCGGCUGUUUCUCCCUCACUGACACUGAGAACAGCCCCACUGCCUUUCUCCAUAUUUCUCAUACCUGACCUGCACAUCCCCACUUCCAAGCCUCAGCAUGGGCUGUUCCCCAUCCUCCAGGGAUCCUUUUCUGACCACAAUCUUUAGCCCACACAACUGCUUCUCCUUACUGUGACUCAAAAGUGAUGCACACCUACCAAUCCUGCGUCUUGAAUGUCCAACUUUCCUCCCUUGACAGAUGAGGAUGCUGGACUCUAGGGAGAGUCAGUAACUUGCCUGAAGGCACAGCUGGGAAACAAGAGAGCUGGCAUUCAAAUCCACGCACUCCAGCUUCAGUGCUCGAACCUCAGAGUGCUCUCCAUGAAGAGCAUGUUUCCUUUCCCUCAGUAGAGGGAGAGAGCGCUAGAUGACACAACUGUUAAAACCGUAUAAUAACCACGUGAAUACCUUGCUAGGAUGCCCUGCAGUCUUUGGAAGGACAGGGGCAAGUGAAGAAACCUGAAGCUGAAGCUCCAUUAGCUUUGUGGCGAGUCAACCCUGGUCAAGGUUGGAGGUGGGGCUCAGAAGAACUAAACCAACAGAUACUUCCAGCUGUACACACUCAUCCCAGCCAGCGACACCCACUCUUCAGGUCCAUGGUCCCAGGCCGCAGCAAAGUUCUGAGACUAAGGUGAGAAUAAGGUGAAAUUAUGCACAUUUUCUGUUUGUGUGUAGAGAAAGAGAGAAACAACUUCCUCAACCCGAGAUGAGGUUGUCUCUGGGCGACUAGCCAUCUGGUUCACCAAAACAAGAUUUUCUCUGAUUUUGCAUGUAAGCUGUUUUUGUUUGUCUUUUUUACCACUUUGGUCCUAAAGGGUUUAUUUUCUGUUACCCACUCCCCACAGAACCUCUGCAUUCUGGGAUGGAAUGUAGGGUGAUGGAAUCCUUAGAGGUGGGUGAGAGGAAUCCCACUGGGCCCCCCAGCAUGGCCUGGGGCCUUCCUGGGCUUGGCAGUGGUUAAGAGUGUGAGCACCAGAACCAAACAGCUGGGCUCUGACACUGACUCCCUCCAACCAUAGUCCCGGGACAAACUCACCCCUCCGUUCUUCCCAUUCUGUAUCAGUAGAGCAGAGGAAAAGUGAUGAGCAGCACGUGGGAGUUGUGGGAAUUGAGUCGUUGCCGCUCAAGUGCUUGUACAGGGCCUAGCACUUCGUAACUGCUCACUGCGGGAAAGGGAACAGGUUUAUUAAGGGUUUGAUGAACAGAACUGGAGGAAAUUGGGAGGGGGCAAGGGCCCUGUCCUUAUGCCAGGAACUCCUCCCUUCCUUUCUUCUCCAGGCCUCACUGGGAGCUGCACCCUCUGCUCCUCUGGCCUGGGAAAGAGCCAGAUGUCUUGUCUCCUGUUUCCCAUCAGAGAGGGUUUCCUCUGGCUCCAACGCCUUCCUUGCAGUGUAUGAGGCGGCUUUACCUGCCUCAAAGGUCAGCUAGCAAACACCUAGAGAGUAUUCUAGACAGACCCUGGCUGCAAUUCCCAGGCUUUCCCUGCUAAAUCUGGCAGAAUCUGCCCUGGGGUGUGCCAAAUGUCAAUCACAAGAAGGACAGGUCACACUGCUUCUUCCGAGAAGCCUCUCUAGAUUUCACCGCCCUGCCUUGAACUCUGCCCAUAUCCUGUGUCUCCUGUAACCCUGGGCUCAGCUUGUCCAAAAGCUGUUCCCUGCUAACCAUGGCUAGUGUGCUUCUCGAAUUGUGAGCCAAAAGCAAAUGUUCAAAAGCACAACCAGAGAUUUAUAUGGCAUAGGGGUGUAUUUUCCCAGAGAGCUAAAAAAAGAUUGUAAAAUCGUAAUUAUAUCCACAUUUUAUGCAUAAUUUUUGCAAUAUACUAACCAUAUUUUGAACAUGUUCAUUCAUUUACUUCUGCUACAAUUCAACAUGCAGUCACUCAACAGAUAUCUGUUGAGCACCUCCUAGGUACCAGACACCAUUCCAGGUAUUCAGAAUAUAUCCCUCGUGGGGCGCACAAUCUAAUAACAGAAGGAGAUGGAUAAUGAAAACUUCACAUCAUAAAUGUUAGAUGGUGAUAAGUGCUAUGGGGAGGAAACAAAGGGAGACAAAAGCAGAGCCCAAGAGAGAAGAUCCAGAAUGCAGGUGGAGGGUAGAGUGCAGGUUGCAAUUUAAAACAGGAGGAUCAGGGAAAGCCUCAUUGAUACACUAAGAUUUGAGCAAUGACUUGGAAAGGAGGUGAGGGAUGAGCCGCGUGGAAAUCAAGGAAAGGGCAUUCUGGGUACAGGGCCCUAAGGCGCGAACGUGCCUGGCAUGCAUCUGAACACAGCUUAAUUCUGGUGAGCAUCUGAUUGUGGCUUCUUUGGUCUUCCUUGGGCGUGCCUAAGGACUCCUAUCUUUGUCUCAUUUAUAUUAAGUUCAUGAGAUCUGUGCUUUCUACUCCAGCUUUCCACUCAUCUUUAUAAAACAGUAAGGACAAAAUUAAAUGAAAUGUGCAAAAUAACUGCACAAACUCUGUGCUGGGUGCCUGGUGACGCGGAACCGUCGGCUGGCACGCUGCGCCCCCACGUGGAAGCUUGCAAGGUUUGGCCCCCUAGGCACGGAAGUUCCUAUCUGGCCCCUGGAAAGCAGCCCAGGGGGACCAGGCUUAGUGCCCAAAUGUACGCGCUGUGCAAAAGAGAAACUUAUGAAGUCAAGGACCUCGUGGCGUGUUAGACGAGAGCCCGAGGGCAGGGGUGGGGGUGCAGUGCUGAUGGGGAUGUGGGCCACACCCGCUAGCUUUCCUCCCCGAGCCAGAGAAGAUGUUCCUGUCCUUGAACAAGAGAGCAGACAGUUCCCCCAGGCAGCUGUGUGCAUGGGGGGAGGAGGGGGUUCCGGGAGGGUGCUGUGCUGCAUGGCCCUCGACACAGAUGUGCACUCGCAUGCGCUUGGCAAAGGUGCUCCCCGCACUGGACGUGCAUUUGUUUUUCCUCCAGGACUGUGUUCUGGACAAGGACCUCCUGAGGCACCCAUGCUGCAGUUCCCAGAGGCUUAAGGACGGCUGCGGGACGUGUGGGCGUCUGGGUUGGGUCACCUCUCCAAGGAUGCCUUCUCUGACCACCCAGCGUAGUUCCCCAGGCACUCCGUCACUGUCCUGCUGUAACCCCUUCCUGGCGAUCCUCUUCGCCUGAUAUUUUUGUGCUCACUGAUGGAUGAGCUCUGCUCAUGAAAAUGCAAAGUCCCUUAAGAGCAGAGUCCGUGUCUGUUCUUUUGGCUGCACUGUUACCUGCACAGAGAAGAGUGCCCAACCGAGAUUGUGCAUUCAAUACGUAUAUUUUAUUAGUUGAAAUAAAUGAAUGAUGUUUAAGACCUGGCUUAUGCAUUUUCUUUAAUGAAGAGAUGGAGAAAACAUAGCAUGCUGGAGCAGAAGGGAG